rnacentral:rRNA from 1 species
UACAUAGGGAGCAAGCGUUGUCCGGAAUCAUUGGGCGUAAAGCGCGCGUAGGUGGCCCCAUAAGUCCGCUGUGAAAGUCAAAGGCUCAACCUUUGAAAGCCGGUGGAUACUGUGGGACUAGAGUACGGAAGAGGCGAGUGGAAUUCCUGGUGUAGCGGUGGAAUGCGCAGAUAUCAGGAGGAACACCAAUAGCGAAGGCAGCUCGCUGGGACGUUACUGACACUGAGGCGCGAAAGCGUGGGGAGCGAACAGG